rnacentral:rRNA from 1 species
UUGAACGCUGGCGGCAGGCCUAACACAUGCAAGUCGAGCGGUAGAGAGAAGCUUGCUUCUCUUGAGAGCGGCGGACGGGUGAGUAAUGCCUAGGAAUCUGCCUGGUAGUGGGGGAUAACGUUCGGAAACGGACGCUAAUACCGCAUACGUCCUACGGGAGAAAGCAGGGGACCUUCGGGCCUUGCGCUAUCAGAUGAGCCUAGGUCGGAUUAGCUAGUUGGUGAGGUAAUGGCUCACCAAGGCGACGAUCCGUAACUGGUCUGAGAGGAUGAUCAGUCACACUGGAACUGAGACACGGUCCAGACUCCUACGGGAGGCAGCAGUGGGGAAUAUUGGACAAUGGGCGAAAGCCUGAUCCAGCCAUGCCGCGUGUGUGAAGAAGGUCUUCGGAUUGUAAAGCACUUUAAGUUGGGAGGAAGGGCAGUUACCUAAUACGUGAUUGUUUUGACGUUACCGACAGAAUAAGCACCGGCUAACUCUGUGCCAGCAGCCGCGGUAAUACAGAGGGUGCAAGCGUUAAUCGGAAUUACUGGGCGUAAAGCGCGCGUAGGUGGUUAGUUAAGUUGGAUGUGAAAUCCCCGGGCUCAACCUGGGAACUGCAUUCAAAACUGACUGACUA